ACAUCUCAACUCCUCACGGUUUGCCCGUGAUGAGCUUGGACUUUGGGGGUCUUGCUGGCCUGCAGGUCGGCUCCUCUCAAAUGAAUCAGCUUGCCGGUGUUUGGCGGCGUCACAGGUGUGAUAACGAUCUACGCUCGUGGUUGUUGACCAGGUAACCUCCAGUGAUGGAGGUUCACCGGAGCUCAUAAACGUCUCUCCUCAGCAAGGACAUUUUUUCAA
rnacentral:misc_RNA from 1 species